rnacentral:rRNA from 1 species
GACGAACGCUGGCGGCGUGCUUAACACAUACAAGUCGAACGGAAAGGCCCUGCUUUUGUGGGGUGCUCGAGUGGCGAACGGGUGAGUAACACGUGAGUAACCUGCCCUUGACUUUGGGAUAACUUCAGGAAACUGGGGCUAAUACCGGAUAGGAGCUCCUGCUGCAUGGUGGGGGUUGGAAAGUUUCGGCGGUUGGGGAUGGACUCGCGGCUUAUCAGCUUGUUGGUGGGGUAGUGGCUUACCAAGGCUUUGACGGGUAGCCGGCCUGGGAGGGUGACCGGCCACAUUGGGCCUGGGGUGCGGCCCAGACGCCUACGGGAGGCAGCAGUGGGGAAUAGUGCACAAUGGGCGGAAGCCUGAUGCAGCAACGCCGCGUGCGGGAUGACGGCCUUCGGGUUGUAAACCGCUUUCGCCUGUGACGAAGCGUGAGUGACGGUAAUGGGUAAAGAAGCACCGGCUAACUACGU